AUUGAACGCUGGCGGCAGGCCUAACACAUGCAAGUCGAGCGGAUGAAGGGAGCUUGCUCCUGGAUUCAGCGGCGGACGGGUGAGUAAUGCCUAGGAAUCUGCCUGGUAGUGGGGGAUAACGUCCGGAAACGGGCGCUAAUACCGCAUACGUCCUGAGGGAGAAAGUGGGGGAUCUUCGGACCUCACGCUAUCAGAUGAGCCUAGGUCGGAUUAGCUAGUUGGUGGGGUAAAGGCCUACCAAGGCGACGAUCCGUAACUGGUCUGAGAGGAUGAUCAGUCCAACUAGAACUGAGACACGGUCCCGACUCCUACGGGAGGCAGCAGUGGGGAAUAUUGGACAAUGGGCGAAAGCCUGAUCCAGCCAUGCCGCGUGUGUGAAGAAGGUCUUCGGAUUGUAAAGCACUUUAAGUUGGGAGGAAGGGCAGUAAGUUAAUACCUUGCUGUUUUGACGUUACCAACAGAAUAAGCACCGGCUAACUUCGUG
rnacentral:rRNA from 1 species